AAAAAGACAAACCCUGAUUUCCAUGUCCAAUGUUUGACCGUCCGUUGUAUUUAAAAAAAAAUAUGAAAAAAAUUAAAAAGACAAGUCACACAUAAAAUAUUAAUCAUAUUUUAUCAUCUAACAAAAAUAAAAAUAUGAAUUAUAAAAAAAUUUUAUAUAAGACGGACAGUCAAAGUUAGAUAUGGAAAUUUAGGGUUUGUCUUUUU
rnacentral:pre_miRNA from 1 species